rnacentral:misc_RNA from 1 species
CCGGAGGUAGCAGAGUACUGGAAACAGGUGAUCAAGAUCAACGAUUACCAGAAGAACCGUUUUGUUAACAGGGUUGUUGCCUCUAUGUUCAACACGGUUUCAAACAAGAAGAUUGCCAUUCUCGGCUUUGCUUUCAAGAAAGAUACCGGUGACACGAGGGAGACCCCUGCUAUUGAUGUGUGCAAGGGACUGUUGGGGGACAAGGCGCGGUUGAGCAUCUAUGAUCCCCAAGUCUCUGAGGAUCAGAUCCAGAGGGACCUCACACUCAGCAAGUUCGAAUGGGAGAACCUUCCUCUGGUAGUCGAGAGCCUUGAACUCAUCCCACUCAGUCAGGAUGCACACUGCAUGAGCUUCCUUUGUUGCUUCAUACGCGUCCCACACCACGCUCACUUGCUUAACAGU